CGACCAUAUCACAUUGAAACACAUUGAUCACCAAAGUUAAGCAACGCCGAGCCUGGUCAGUACCUAGAUGGGUGACCGCUUGGGAAUACCAGGUGCU